rnacentral:lncRNA from 1 species
AUUGAGAUGGUCCCAUCGUUGAGAUAAGAACAUUCAAAGAAAGUUAUACCGAACAGUGGCACGACUUUGCAAAAGCAGUGUUGCUACUGGUGACAAAAAGCUCACGUGCAUCCUCGUUGGAGGCAGUAUCCAACUCUGAACUCUCACUUGUACCCUAUCAAAUGGUACGAGUAAGAAAAUAAUAGGUUAUUAUUGUGAUGCCAAAAUGAAAUUGCACUCAAGCUGACUGGGAAGCAUGUACCUCACACAUGGGAUCAAUCCUUGCUCAGGCUCGGACAGCCAACGACCUGGAGGUGAGACCUUUGACACAGCCGGAGGCCAAGCUCGUGGACGAUAUCAAGUCUGCUGGCAACCAUUUCUUUGGGAUGCAGC